rnacentral:lncRNA from 1 species
AGAUUAUGAUUUCUAGUUUCAUUACAAUAUAAAUAAAAAAUUUAUUUGUCCUUUAUACUCUCGAUAAAAAAAUUCUCACUUUUCAAAAUUCUCAAUUUAAUAAAAAAAGAUAAUCGGUAUUUAAAUUGAGUCUUAUGCAUCAGGUAGGGGUGGCAAAAUGAAUAAACUAAUUGAAUCGUAAACGAAUUAGGUCAAAAUUCUAUUGAUUCAUAUUCGAUUCGUUUAUUAAACGAAUUGAAAUUUUAGGAUUCGGAUUUGAUUGGUUUAUUAAACCAAUAUUUGGUUCGAUUCGUUUAGUAGAAUUAAUAAAUGAAUCGAAUCAAGUCCGGAUUCGUUUAUUAUUCGUCCGGAUUCGUUUAUCCUAUUUCCAAUCCAUAAUGAAUCAAAUUGAAUUGGGAAUCGUUUACAAUUUGUUUAGAAAAAUAUAACUAAUAAACAAAAUUAAGCAAAUAAAAUAUAAAAAAGCCACAAAUUUAAUAUCCUACAACAAAAUACAAAUAACCCAAACCAUAUUCUAGGAUUAAAUACACAGUCAUCCAAAUUACAAUAUUAACCUUCAAAUUUUAAAAAAAUUUCAAAUAAAUUUAAGGACAAAAAAAGUAAUUUAAUUAAACGAAUUUUAAACAAAUCGACAUGUAUUGGAUUUGUUUAUAAUCCGUUUGUUAAACGAAUCUUAAACGAAUAAACGAAUCAAUAUCUUCAAAUUCGGAUUCAAUUCGUUAAUAUUAAUGGUUUUGAAUUUAAAAAAAUUGAUUCGUUUAAUAAGUAAGUGAAUUCGAUUCGAUUUGAAUCGAAUCGAACUUACCUAUUUAUUAAACGAAUCAAUUUUUUUAAAUUCAAAACCAUUAAUUCGCAUUGAAUCGAAUAAAUGAAUCCUCACUCAUAUUGCCACCCGUAGCAUUAGGGUGUGACUGGGCUGUGGGGGCCUAGUAGGGUUGGCAAUGGGAUGGGAUGAGAUGGGAUUUACCAAUCCCAGUUCCAUCCCGUAUAUGCAAAUGAGAUGAAAAAACGUCUCAAUUCCAUCCCUAUAUUUUUUUUGGGACAAAAAUAUGUUUCAAUCCUAUCCCAAAAGAGAUGAGAUCAUGCGGGAUCCCAUCCCAAUUGAAAAAAUUUUCAUUCUUAAUAGGUAAUGAGAUGGGAUGAGACAGAAUUUAUCAAUCUCACUCAUGUCCCGCAUAUGUAAUUGAGAUAAAAAAAUAUUUUAAUUUCAUCCUUAAAUUUUUUUAUAGGAUAAAAAAAAUUUAUCCCGAUCCUAUCCUAAAUGGGAUAAGAUCCUGAUCUCAUCCCGUAGAAAAAAAUUGCCAUCCCUAAAAUCGAGGAUAGAGUUUUGAGAGGAUUACCAUUACUGAGCUCUUAAUGACAUCAAAACUGGUCCCGUGUCUUUCAAGAAUCAAGACCUUAAAACCUUCUUUAUUAUUUUUGCAUGAUUGAUUGAUGAUCUUUGUGGACCCUAAAUCUGAAAAUCAGCUUGAGGUCCAGGCUAUUUGUACGUGAGGAAUGUGGUUGUGUGAUCCCUUUCAUCUUUAAUGACAUUUCUGAUAGAAUGGAAAAAAAUGAAAAAAGAACAAAUCAAUAUGGAGAUGGCACUGAACCUCUACAUUGACCUCCGGCUGAACAUCUUGCAAUAAAGAACGGUUGAGGAGGCAACACUUCGCAAAAGCUAGCAUUGACUUCUGUUUAAAAUAAAAAACAUACGGCUGAAAACUGAGAAAAGUAAAACACUCCUUGGGUACUAAUAAUGAUUGUUUUUUGGCACGUUGCAACGGGAAUCUCGUGUUUUCAUGCUUCCAAUCUCUGGAGUUCCUUAAUUUAAUUAUUCAAGAGGUCAAAGCAAGCACGAUCAAGAAACAAAUGAAUUGGAUUCCAAUUGUCGAUCGGGUAUUCAUCUUACUGCUUUUACUUGAUAUUUAAACUCUUUGAUUCAAACAACAUCAAGUCAAAAUACAAAUGAUAAGGGCCAAAUGAAUGCCUCAAUUGUUCAUGGGACGGUGUUGGAAUGUGCGGCUUCUAACAGACCAUUAUUAUUAACACGAGUCCCAAUAAUUAUUUAUUUAUUUAUUUGGGAAAAAAGCUAAGAAAGUAUUUAAAGAUGGCCAACGGGCGGGUGGCACGUGACACAGCAUGUGUCUGUACAGUACGACACGAUACGAGUAUGUGGAACGGCACAACGCGCACGUUAGUUGGGUCAGACUUAGAAUUUUAGGCACGUGAAACUUAAAAGCAUGACACAAUUAGAGAUGAGCUAAAGCACAAUACAUAAAAAAAUACUUAAUAAACACUCUUCAUUGGUGGGCCAGCCGAAGUAUAUCAAAGUAAAAUCUUUUAAUGAAAAAUAAAU